CGGGGUGCACCAGGCGCGAAAACUUUACACUGCGGGAAACCGUGAUAAGGGAACUUUGAGUGCCCGUUAAAUCGGGCCGUCCAUCGGUUUAAAUAACCGGUGAAGAAAGGGCCGGGCAAGACCGGUGCCAGCCGCCGCGGUAAUACUGGUGGCUCGAGUGGUGGCCACUAUUAUUGGGCUUAAAGCUUUCGUAGGUGGUUAGUCAAGUCUCUGGGGAAAUCUUCCGGCUUAACCGGAAGGUGUCUCAGGGAUCCUGAGCAGACUAGGGACUGUGAGAGGUGAGAGGUACUCCAGGGUUUGGAGUGAAAUCCUGUAAUCCUCGGGGGACCAUCCCGAGGAGAAGGUGUCUCACCAGAACGGCUCCGUCAAUGACGGGACGAAAGCUGGGGCGAGCAAACCGGAUUAGAUACCCGGGUAGUCCCAGCCGUAUAACGAUGCGCGUUAGGUGUAUCGGUGACCACGAGUCACCGAGGUGCCGAAGAGAAAUCGUGAAACGUGCCGCCUCGGAAGUACGGUCGCAAGCCUGAAACUUAAAGGAAUCGGCGGGCGAGCAC
rnacentral:rRNA from 1 species